rnacentral:rRNA from 1 species
GACGAACGCUGGCGGCGUGCCUAAUACAUGCAAGUAGAACGCUGAAGGAGGAGCUUGCUCUUCUGGAUGAGUUGCGAACGGGUGAGUAACGCGUAGGUAACCUGCCUGGUAGCGGGGGAUAACUAUUGGAAACGAUAGCUAAUACCGCAUAACAGUAGAUGUUGCAUGACAUUUGCUUAAAAGGUGCAAUUGCAUCACUACCAGAUGGACCUGCGUUGUAUUAGCUAGUUGGUGGGGUAACGGCUCACCAAGGCGACGAUACAUAGCCGACCUGAGAGGGUGAUCGGCCACACUGGGACUGAGACACGGCCCAGACUCCUACGGGAGGCAGCAGUAGGGAAUCUUCGGAAAUGGACGGAAGUCUGACCGAGCAACGCCGCGUGAGUGAAGAAGGUUGUCGGAUCGUAAAGCUCGGUUGUAAGAGAAGAACGAGUGUGAGAGUGGAAAGUUCACACUGUGACGGUAUCUUACCAGAAAGGGACGGCUAACUACGUG